AUCUUUGAAUGAAAGGAAAAAGAAAUGUGGAUCUGGAGAAGUCUGGGGCCAGCUUGCCGCUGGUGGGCUCAGGAUCAAUCAUCCCAAAUAG
ensembl:snoRNA